CUCAUCUAAGCAAUGGAUUAGUUAUCUUGGGUCUACACAAAGGUUUACUAUUUUCUGCCAAGGAAAUAUGAGCUGUCAAGAAAGAGAAUCUGCUGCACAAAAAAGCAAUGAUGACAAGCUGCUUCUUGGAAAAUGUGGAAAGUCUUUAAGAACAUGGGAGAAAAGAACAGAAGCACUAGACAACAUCUGAUGUAUCCCAGUAUGAAAGACAUGCUAUCAAAUUAUCAGUAUCUGCAACAGAAUCCAG